UAGCUUCUCCCGCCUAUUCUCUUAAAGAAAAAAAAUAAACUUCCAUCCUUCCUUUUUUCGGUGCCCCCACAACCGAAUGACUAAGAUCUUCUCCUCACCGCUCCAUAGAUGGCUCUCCUCUGUCACAAAUGGCUCAAACUUCAGAUCUUUGGGUGGGAUUUUAUUCUCGGGUUGAAGACAGAAAAUUUGAAUAUUUAAAGGAAGCUUUGUGAUGAUUCCAGUAUUAAUGGUGAAGCUUAAGGUCAUUGAAACAGAGGUUCUAUCUAAUCUUUUUAAUUGUCUUGUUUCUGGCAUGUAUAUAUACACGUUUAUUAAUAGUUUAGUUGAUUCCAUAUAUGUAUAAAAUUAGUGUUCUUUAGCUCACCACUUUUUCUACAAGUUACUCAAUUUUUAAAAUUGUAUAUCUGUCGGGAUUCUUCAUUGUCAAAUAUUUAUUUAAGUAAGCUUUCUAUAUCUAUGCUAAAUGCUUGAAAUUUUCUCAUAAACAAAGUAAAGUUUAAUGAUGAAAAUUUAACCUUUUGCUACACAAUGACUCUUGCUGGGAAAUUUUUUUAUUUUGAAUUACUACUUUAGCCCUUUUCUAUGAUCUUUUACUGGACUUGCUAUAAAAAGGUCAUUCUGUUUUGUUGAAAUGAAUAGAGACGCAAAUGAUUAAAGUGUCUUAUCUUAGUUUAAUUUUGAUUAUUAAGAUUGAUAACUUUAAUUCUUAUAAUGACAAACAGUAACUAUUUCUAUAACUAUUUGAAAAACACUAUAUAUAUAUCAAUCUUAUACAUAGAUAAUGGAUGAUUCUGACUAUAUAUAGCUUUGUUGAGAGUGACAUGCUAUUAACGUCCUCUACUUACAUUGUUUUAAAAUAGCUUGGUUUUGGCCACAGAAUUAACAUUAUUUAUGUGCAGUAGUAUGACCUUUUUUUAGUGAUGCUGCUAUUGGUUUCAUAUCAUAUUAAUAUUGUUCAUUAAUUUUUUCUCUAUAUAUUAUACAAGUGUAUGUUAGAGGAGUUUGAAUAUCUUAAAUAUUCAUCCAUAGUGAAGUAGCAUUUGGGAUUAUAAUUGUUUGCUGUGGUGAUAACUAAAGGUUGAAAACUUGCAUGUAUUAGUGAAGUAGGUUUUGAUAAUUUUGUGUGCUGUCGUGAUAUAAGGAUGAAAACCUGUGUGUUGUUUGAUUUGUUUGUGUUGAUUAUGAUAGAUGGCUAGGCUAGUAAAUUAGGAGAUACACUAUUUGACCUUGAUUCGCCAUCCACGAUGAACGGAGACCCUCCCCACCACGAUGAACGACAUCCAUAGCAAGAGCACUCGUGCCUCCAUUUAUAUCUGUGAGAUAUAUAUAUAUAUAUAUUUCAAAUUUCAACUGAAUAUCGUAUAAUUAAUUUAUAUAUAUAUAAAAAAAAUAUUUAUAUAUAUAUAUAUGUUUGUAAGUUUGUAUGUUGUGUAUGAGUUAUUCCGAUGCCUAGUAUAUAUCAUAUGGUAUCAUAUAUUUAGAUUUAACAUGUUUUCAUUAGAGAAAUUUUGUGAGAAAGGGCUUUGGGGCAUUGAGAAAGAGAAAAUGGGUUUUGGGUUGGUUCAUUUACUGCCAAAACCAUCCUUUGUGCUAUGUGACUAUAUAUACUAGUCAUCUCACAAAAUUUCUUGGCUGAACCGGUAUAACUUUGUGGUGUCAUCUAUUUAAUUUUUUGUUCUUUAGUUUAAUUUUGUUUGUUUUGCUAUUGUUAUUUGCUUAUCAAUUUUUGAUGUUGUAUUAAAUUUUCAUAUUUCAGUUCUUGAUCAGAGAAUUACAUUGUAUUCUAUUAAUUGAUUUGCAUACUUUGUUUUCAGGCCUUGUUUUCUAAAAUCAGGUUCUAAAAAACUGAGCCAGAAGUAGUAGCAGUUACUGAAGUGGGAUAAUGGCUUCUAUUUCAAAGAUAUUAAUGAAUGGCAACGAUAUUAUAAUUAUUAUGUAAGAAAUUAAUGCAAUUUUGGUAUUAUAAAAAACUUUUUGCUGUACUAUUUGGUUAGUAUACUUUGGUGAUACCACUUCUUUGAGUAUCACACAACCUGCAGUACUAGUCUCAUAUUACGCUUAUAUAGGUCCAUGCUUAGAAAAUAAUUUGUUUGUGUGAUGAUGCAUGUGUAAUGGACCUACACUUUCAAUGUCAUUGUUUAGUUAAAAUUAAAUGUUUGGAUAGGAUCUAAAAGUAUUAGAGGUUAACAUAAUUACAAAGAACACAAUUUAUCGCCUUUGUUUGACUUAAGUUAAUUUUGGAUUGAUUGUUUUGAUUCAGAGUUUGUGAGAUAAGCAACAUGGGCUUUAGGAUUGAAUUGAGAAUUUAGGUUUUGGGAUUUUGAAAAAUGGCUUUGGUAUCUCAUUCUUUAGUUGUAAUUUCUGGAAAACCAGCUUCGGAUAUUCUUUGGAGCUUUAUAUAUGAGUUACUACAAUUGUUCAUUAUUCAUUUUGAUGUUUAUUUAUUGUUUUUUGGAUAAUUUGUUAUGUAAAUAAAUGUUACUAAUUGUUUAAUAAGUGAUACCAAAAAAGAAUCACCAUUUGUGAUAUGUAUGAAUGUUUAUUUGGAAUAAGUACAAUAUAUUCCAUGUUAUAAUAUUUCAAGCAUUAAUUUUAUUUUUAGGUAGUGGAAUUUGAUAACUCUACAAAAUAGAGUUAUUUUACCAUAUUUUAUAAGCCAAUUGUUGCUUAGUUCUUGAGUUUUAAAUUAAUUUAUUAAUUUUUUUAAGUAAUUUUGAAUUUAUUAGUUUUAUUUUGAUUUUAUGUAUUUUGAUUUAUUUUGUUUAAUUAUGUUGUUACUAAUUUAU